GACGAACGCUGGCGGCGCGCUUAACACAUGCAAGUCGAACGGAAAGGCCUGCUUUCCCUUGUGGAUUGCGGGUACUCGAGUGGCGAACGGGUGAGUAACACGUGAGUGAUCUGCCCCCAACUUGGGUAUAAGCCUGGGAAACUGGGUCUAAUUCCCGAUAGGACUGCAGGGUGGUGCCUGUGGUGGAAAACGAUUUUCUAGUGGUUGGGGAUGAGCUGGCGGCCUAUCAGCUUGUUGGUGGGGUAAUGGCCUACCAAGGCGGCGACGGGUAGCCGGCCGGAGAGGGUGGACGGCCACAUUGGGACUGGGAUCCGGCCCAGACUCCUACGGGAGGCAGGAGUGGGGAAGAUUGCAGAAUGGGCGGAAGCCUGAUGCAGCGACGCCGCGUGGGGGAUGACGGCCUUCGGGUUGUAAACUCCUUUCGACCGCGAGGAAGCCACCUGGUUGGAAGGGUGGUGACGGUAGUGGUAGAAGAAGCACCGGCUAACUACGUG
rnacentral:rRNA from 1 species